UCAGUAUAUUUUAUAACUGAGACAAAAAGUCACUUCAUUAGUAUUUGAAAGUUAAUUCCCCAUAUGGGAUUAAUUGUAUAGAAACACCAAUCAGCACAUCUUCCCUGCCCUGUGUGUUUGUUGCAAAGGAUCCAUACUGUAAAUAUAAUUUUUGUUUGAAAAUAACAGAGCAACAUUUACAUUUUCAGCGGUCCAACACAUGCUUUAUUUUGCGCUGUAAACUAACCUUUUUAUUGCAACAGAUUCCUUUUAAAUGAUCCAGUGUAAUAACUACUGCUUGUGUCUUCUAUGUCUCACAUUAUGUGAUAUUUUAAAUUGUGGUAUAUAGCCUGAAUCAGACAUCAUGGACAAAAGGUUUUUACCUGUGUUACUAAGGGCUCUUGGAGACUGACCGGUCUAAAGGUUUGCCAUGCCUUUAAAACAUGGUACAGUAUAAAUUUUUAAGUCUCUGAGAGUUCUGAAAGAUUCAGGUGAAACCAUGUCUGUUUAAUCUGGUCCAGAUGUUUGUUCAAUUUCUAUAAGAUUUAAGUUGAUGCAGCAUCAACUCAGAUUAGUUAAUGGAAGUUUCAUACAAAUAGUUGAGUUAUGAGUGCGCUAUAUAAAUGGAUCCUUUCUUUAUA